AAUAAUUUGUAUGUGUUAGGAAAAUGACUUAACUGUUCCACUCUAAAAUUAUAGAAUAGGGUGAUAUGUUUAAGAAUAAUGGGAAGAUAAAAUCAGGAUAUGGGGAGAUCGGUUAGGAUUGUAAAACUUUGAGGUGAUAUUCUUUAGUAGGGAUGUAAACUGAGUGAAGUUGUAGAUUAGGUAAAAGAAAAACAUUGGAGAGGUUUCAAACCAAGAGGGUCAUAAAGGGGGAGGGGAGGUGAAAGCCUUGAAGAAUGUGGCAAACUUUAUGGUUCUUUGUGGUGAGUGGAAAAGCACUGGUUGUUUGAGAAGGGAGUGGUCUAAAGAUAGGAAUAUGUGUGUGUAUUAUAAAAGGACUGAGUCCUAAUUCUCUGAAUAAACUACAGAUCUUUCGCAGAAAGCUGAGUCCUUGCCUAAUUAUUAUUAACCCAGUGUCUUACAAACCUUGGGGAUUAGUCAAGGCUUAUUGAUUGUUAAUUAUUAUCAUUGGGAUUUGAAAAUUCCCUUAACAAUUGGUCCUUCGAGCAGAUCUCAUAUACUUGUUGACUGUCGUUCCAGGGGACACUGAAAACCGUGCACGGGCGGAUGAAUCAUCCGUAAAAAACAAAGUCCUGCCCUCUAAUAAUCGAGGGUUCAUUUCAGGCCGGUGGUGAACUGGAAAACGACAGUAAACGGUGACGAGACCUAACCAAAAUUAUACCUCAGCUGCAAAGAAAAGGUGAAUUACAGGAGAAGGUGAUUCAUGCAAUAUAGCUUGGAGACUGGGUGUGGAUCCAGUCCCUGAGGAGAAAAGACUGGAAACAGCCCCGUUGGGAAGGACCCUACCAGGUUCUGUUAACUACCGCCUUUGCCAUUAGAAUAGCUGAGAGAGCCACUUGGGUCUACGUUACCCACUGCAAGAAGGUAGGAACACAUACAAGCACUGCUGAUCACACACAGAGUUAGGAGAAGAACCGAGUACCAAUAGGGUUCGGGGGUUACCUCCUUAACGAAGAUUCCCUAACCCGACCUGUCAUCACUGUGUGUGUUCCUAGAGUGUGAGUAUGGGGUGGUUCCGGGCAGAUAGGCUGCAGGCAGGAGAGGGUUGGUGAUUUUUGGGAAUAUGGGGGGGACCCUAAACUGCAUCAUAGUACUAAUAAUAUUCUUGAUACAUCCAGAUCCACCAUCAGUAGGCAUAAAUCGUACCGAAUCUCUACCAGGGUUGAGAAGCAAAAGACAAACUACUCAAAGUAAGGACAGGCAAGGAAGACUAACAUAUAAAAUAGGGGUUAGAGAAGAACAAAACGCGAGAUUCAGGAUGAGGGUACUAAAUAUGACUAACGGACGACAACACCCCCUUAUACCUGUGUCAACCAACUAGGUCUAUGUGUUCCUGGUCACAGGUGUUUAAACACACAUGGGGCAGGGAAUAUGAGACUAAUAUCUGGAAAUGGAGUGCACGGUGGGGUGUUGAACGGAAUAACUAUACAAAUGUAACUAUACAAAAUGUGACUAGGAAUGACAUGCAAAUUAAGUAUAUGGCAUGCGCUGAUGAGUAGGGCAAGGAUACCUGCAUAUCAUUUCAGUUGACAGACACUACAGGAAAAUACACCGUAGUAAAUCCGUUAUUAGGAAUUGCUAAUUCAGGUGGAAAAUCCAUUAGUCUACCUGAUGUGAAGGACUUCCUUCUCCAAGAAAGGAACCAAGGGGAGAUAGAAGGAAUACCAGAUGAAAAUCUGGUUAAGAUGGAUGAAUUAUACGGCCAGGGCUCUGGGCCAAACCAAUUGUUAUGCAUGCUCUACUGGGUGACCAACUAUGUUGACGGCUCCAAUGCCACAGACUAUGCUCUCUUGUGUGUUAGACUUAGGAUCUAAUCAGGAGGAGGUGAACUGUACAGGAAUGGGGUUGGCCAGAUUAAAGAGUGCAGCCAAUCCACUUCAGUUCACUCUAACUCCUGGAGAGUAUCAGUGUUAUAGACACAGGAAUGGCAGUAGGGAUUUGGGAGAUUUUAAUGGAGGUAAGACAGUAGUGAAUGUGACAGACUUAGAAGUGCAGGAGAAGAUUCUUAACCUUACAGCACCUAUAACUGAUGUAUGGUGGGCAUGUUCCGACCAAGGACGCAUAAGGCAGAUGUUACCAAAAGGGUGGGUAGGUACUUGCGCCCCAGUGUUAUUGGUACAAUCAGUGAGGAUUAGUCAUCAAAGGCCAGUGGUGAGUAAAAUAGUAAGAAAUAAGAGAAGUCUGGUCCUAGAUGAGGGUAGCCCCAUUCCAUUGGGAUCCCUAGAGGAGUACCAGAUGAAUACAAGGCGUUGAAUCAAAUAGGUGAAGGGUUCACAACUACUUUUUUUUGGUGGGUUACGAUAAAUAAGAAUGUGGAUUGGAUAAACUAUAUCUAUUAUAAUCAACAAAGAUUUGUAAAUCAGACUAGAGAUGCAGUGAAGGGAAUCUCUGACCAAUUAUCCGCCACCUCUCUCAUGACUUGGCAAAAUAGGUUGGCUCUCGAUAUGUUAUUGGCAGAGAAGGGCGGGGUUUGUAGAAUGGUGGGGGGUCAUUGCUGUACUUUUAUUCCAAAUAAUACAUCACCAGAGGGGACUGUAACUAGAGCCUUGGCUGGGUUGACCGCACUAAGUGAUGAACGGGCUGAGAACUUAGGGGUUAAUACAUCUGUGAUCGGAUGGUUUGAUGAAAUGUUUGGCAAAUGGAAAACCAUAGUAGCUACUAUUGUGGGGGCUGCUAUUGUUUGUAUGGGUAUGCUGGUAUUAUGUGGUUGUUGUUUUAUUCCCUGUGUCCGAGGUUUGGUGAGUAAGGCGUUGGAGAAUGCAGUGACUCAAAAGAUGGUGAGGUACGGGCCCAUCGCAGAGUCUGACCAAUUGAAUGAACGAGAUACAGAUCUAGACCUGAUGGACACCGCUGAUACAUUCAAUCCUGAGGAGCCAGAACUUAAUGAGACGAUUUUCAAUGUUUAGAGACUGUUUAUUCAAUGAAGAUCAUGAUGAUAAUCCUGAACAGAAGAGUUAGGAUUGGUAGUAGUAGUAAACAGCCAUUGAUGAGUAGAUGAUGUAUAUACAUUUAAUGGUUUGAUUUGGUAUGAUUUUAUUGUUUAAUAAAAAUUGAAGUAUCAGAGUGUAACAUUUAGUCAAAGGGUGGAUUUGUAUGUGUUAGGAAAAUGACUUAACUAUUCCACUCUGAAAUUAUAGAAUAGGGUGAUAUGUUUAAGAAUAAUGGGAAGAUAAAAUCAGGAUAUGGGGAGAUCGGUUAGGAUUGUAAAACUUUGAGGUGAUAUUCUUUAGUAGGGAUGUAAACUGAGUGAAGUUGUAGAUUAGGUAAAAGAAAAACAUUGGAGAGGUUUCAAACCAAGAGGGUCAUAAAGGGGGAGGGGAGGUGAAAGCCUUGAAGAAUGUGGCAAACUUUAUGGUUCUUUGUGGUGAGUGGAAAAGUACUGGUUGUUUGAGAAGGGAGUGGUCUAAAGAUAGGAAUAUGUGUGUGUAUUAUAAAAGGACUGAGUCCUAAUUUUUGACUUUAGAACGGGACUGAGUCCUAUUUUUUUACUUUCUCUGAAUAAACUGUACAGACCUUUUGCAGAAA